rnacentral:lncRNA from 1 species
UUCAGGCUCAGAAUCCUUUGAUUUUUCCCUGUGGUGUGGCCUUUAGCUAGGAGCAGGGUCACGAGUCACCUCCCUGGAGGCCCCUGCCAUGCCUGCUCAGGGACAGGGUGGGAAGGGGUGUCUGCCUCUUCCUGUGGACCCCGACACAAGCCAUCUGGCCCCCUGGCGCCUGAGACAACUGGGAAUAAGACACCUUCCCUUGCAGAGCUGCUGGCCAAGGGCUAAGCCAGCAGCGCAGUGACUGGCCCAUGGGAAGCUGUCCACAUACCAAGCACUUUUCCUCACUCCCUCCACAGAUUCGCCUACACCCUGAUGGUGCUUGAGUUUCAGAGCUCACAGGCCUCCUCUUCCCCAGGUCGGCCUCCUGCAGCUGCUCCAGGUAAAAGAGUAUGUGGGACAAAACGACCUGAGAACAUGAGGCUCAGCCCCUGCUUCUCUGUCAGAAGGAGUGGUGGAGACGAUCAGACCAUUUCACUUACGUCACCAACGACAAAAUAUGUUUUCCUCUGCCCUCAACCACGCGGUCAGCACAAGAGUUCUGCUCUGACUCCAGGGCAGAGUCUGUCGAGCUCAUCUCCAAACAAAUUAGAGAAGAUGAGAUGUGGUGAUGGAUGAGAAGGUGGCUAAGAGAGACUCCAGCCAACACAGCUUUUCAUGAUUGGGAUCAAACUCAAUCUGCAGGAGAGCUCCAGAGAGAACAAGGCCCCGUCCCUCAUUUCACCCCCACACAAAGCUGAGGCCAGAGAACGUCAAGACUUACCCAAGGUCACACAGCCACACAGCAGCAGAGCUGGGACUGGGCUCUAGCUGUUCUACUGCACAGGCCCCUUCUUUCCCACUCAGGCCGACUUGUAAUUAUUUCUGAAGACAAUGGCGGGGGGAAAAGGUUCUGAAUACUCUCUGGGUAACAGCUAACUCCCAGAGAAUAAGGUACGCUGGCUCAGUCGGAUUCCCAACGACAGAAGAACGGACGACGCUCCUCCCAACGUACUGGGACAGGAAGCUCCCAGCACCUCAGAGCAGCGGCUUUUCCCUCAGAGGUAUACCUGCAGUGCUAGAGAAGCAGCCUGCUGGCGGGCCUCCCAGCCCUAGUACAGCGGAGCGCUCUGAGCAGGCGCAGGCACAGUAGCAGCCUGGACGCCAUCCCCCGCCCCCCACUCACACACACUCCUCCACCCCUCCCCAC